CAUUUGCAUUUUUGGUUCUCCCCUUUAAUUCCUCCUUCUUUCGUUAUUUGUUGUCUCUCUCAUCUCCUUCAUUACCCUUUUUCGGUUCUCAAAUGUAUUUCAUAAACCCUCAUCUGCCCAUUUUUUUCCUGAUUCCCUGUUCAAACCAUGGCCAUUUAUUUCCCACAUUUGCCGAUUUUCGUAACACCCUAACCCAUUUUUUCUGUAUAUUUUGUUCCUUCAUUCGUCCGUUGCGUUUUGCCAAUGAACCCCCAUUUUGUGAAGCCGAAUCUCUAUCUACAUCUCUCUCAUCCGUCUUUCUCAGUCCCAAAGGUUUUCUCGUGUUUGUUGAAGCCGACCCUUCAACUGCAUUGGCUCCAAACACGAUUUCCUUUUCAGAUCUAGGGUUUUGCCUCCAAAAACGUUUUGUUGAAGGCGACCCUCUAAUUUUCUCCUGGCCGCUCGACGUUCCAUUGUUGCGGCUAGGUGUUUCGCUUGCCGUUUCAUAAUUUCCUUCACUGAUAAGUUAGACACUUCAACACCGUUGUCUGCCAAUGGUUGUCGAUCGAGCUUAGUAGGGAGGUCCUACUUGUCGUCAUAGAAGGUAUGUAUACCUAAUAUUCUUUCAUUUUUUCCUUCUAUAUCGUGUCUUAUGUUCAAAUGUUAACAAGGUUGUUUAUCUUAUGCAAGACGUUGUCGUUCCUGAGUAUACUCUUCUAAGAGGUACUAUUGUAAUGGCCGUUUGUAGGCUUUCUUUUGUUUAGUUUCAUAUAUUAUCGUUACAACAGUAACAUUUGUAAUUUCUUUUCUAUCGUUACAAACUUUUUUUAUUUUUUUGUUAUUUAUUCUUUUGGGUUUUGUAUAAAUUUAUUACAAACAUUUUGUUAAACAUUAUUUGGUUUAUUAGUGUAA